ensembl:lncRNA novel transcript
AAAGUGGGCUGGGAUCUGUGAGCCCAGAAAAGCAACGUUCCACCAAAGUCAAGGGAGGCUGGAAUGUCAAAUUGGAGGUGUCUAGGAGUGUCAAAUAUUGCAGAAGGUGUUAAAAAGGACCGAAAAGUGUCUGCUGAGAUUUGCUAUCCAGAAGCACAGCUCAAAAUGGCCUCUGCAGAAUAAAUGGAAUGAGCUAGGUGUGGAACUCCAGGCACAGCGGUCAAUUAAGGGCUGUUCAUUAACAUUUCAAGCACUGCAGAUAGGGCAUUGUGAGAGCAGGGAUGAUGAUGUCUGCAAUGUGCUUGGCCCUUCAUAUGUGUCUGAUCCAGUUUACUUUCGGGGACAUCCGUCAUCACCAUUGGAAUCCAGACACACACCAUGAAACAUAAACAGACUGAGGCCAACAAAGGUGAAGACAGUUGCCUAAAUAACACAGCUUAUUUGCAGAAGAGCUAACAAGCGUUGAGUCGAUACUAUUUUAGCUAUAUUGUGUGACUUUUUGUACCAGAGAACUUACAAAAAUCAUCAGGGCCAGAUGGCCUGCAAGAUAUUGGAUCAUUAGGACAUAAAAAUUAGGUAGAAUCAAGAACGUCGGUGCUCACCCAGUAUGAGGAUCAUACGAAUUGGUGGUUGGAAAAGCAUUGAAAUGUCACUGACUUUGACUGUCAGAUGUGUGGGGUCAGGCAGGCAUGUGUUUCUCGGAUGCUCAUUGUAGCUCUUGCUUAUCCAUUUUUAUUAACUGAUCCAGUGACUCACAAGGAAGUUGGCAUUAUUGUGUGUGGAACAGCAGCAGAGCUUACUAACAUUCUCAGCUACAAAACAAAAAAUAACGAACCAGAGACUUCAGCUCAGUUCUUGUGAUUGGAGUUGUGUUUCCUCCAGAGUGACGAGCAUGGUAUAAGACGCCUCGCCCUGCACCCCAUCACGG